AGUUUCUUUGAGUUAUUCAAAUUGUUACAGUGAACAGGUGAUGAUGAACAUAAAUUGAACUGGGUAUAAGAAACAAGGAGGAACAUUCAAGUCUAAUGGCAAUACAAACAUUACACCAAACCAAAUGAGGGCAUUUAAGGAGUACUGCUUGUUGAAUGGUCUGAACUCUGAUGCAACACCAAAUGGGUAUUCUACCAGUAGAUCACUAGAGGAUAUUAUUCUGUUGGAUCCCCAAACUGCACCUCUGGUUCCACCACUAAAUCUCAGUACGAAGGGCGAAGUGGUUUAUUGUGUUGAUGGUUCCCAUCAGUGCGCACUCCUCAAAUUGAUGG